CCAGCCCCUGUGCUUCCAGUCCCAACUUCCUGCGGAGGAAGCACACCCUGCAAAAUGCCGGUGAGGACUCAGAUCCUGGGAUUCCUGUCACCUGUGUGGGCUCCUGCUCCCAGCUUGGCCGAGCGCUGACUGCUAGACAGUUAGGGAGUGUGCCAUGGAUUGAAAGAUCUCUCCCUUCUCUCUAUCUCUUUCUCCCUCUUUCUCUCCUCCUCUUUUCUGCCUUUCACGUAAAACAAAGAUAAAAUAACACACUUUUACAAGAUGAAGAAAAUUUCUUCCUACUACAUUUUAUUUUUCAGAGGUACAGCAAUUUGAAAAGCUGGAGCCUAUAAAAGCACAGAGGUAAGUGUUUGGUUCAUGGUUAAGACGCUUGUUUAGGAACCCAUAUCCUAUAUUGACCUGCCUGAGUUUGAUGCCCAGCUCUGACUCCUGACUUCAGCUUCCUGCUAACGUAGAGCCUGGAAGACAGCCAUGGUAGAUCUACUGGUUAGUUUUCUGCCACUCCUAUGGGAGAUGUAGAUUGAGUUCCCAGCUCCUGGCUGCAGCCCCAGCUGUAUCAUUGCAGAUGCUGAGAAGUGAACCAGCAGAUGGUAACUGUCUUCUGCAUGUCUCUCUGUCCCUCUGCCUUUCAAAUGGAUGGAUGGAUGGAUGGAUGAGUAACUAAAUAAGUAAUAAAAGUGUAUGUCAGGGAGUUAUGGCAGAAUAAAUGAAAGAUACGUGGGAACAGACCCAUUAUAUUUUGCCAGAAAACAGGCAACUUCAUAAUUUCAAAUAAUGUGCAAUUUAAUUAGGAUUCAUAAGGGGCAGGAUGAAUGACUGGGAGCUUGGAAUGAUCUCAAAGGCCUCUUAAUCUGUCUGUCUCCCAGAUGACAAAGAUUCAAACCUCCAGGACCGGAACACCUGAGUGUCUCCAGAGAUUAUGUUUUUUGUGAUCUCUGCACCUCUUUUUCUCCACUGGUGAUUUCAAAGUAGCCAGAUUAACUCGUUUCCCGACUCUAAGGUGCACGUUUCGAGAAAUGGCUACAGCAGAAGCUGCAGUGCCUUCGUGUCCCAGCACCCUGUCUGCUCCAGUCCCUCAGCACAGGCAGACACAGAGGUCUGUGUAGUUCAAGAAGAGGGACGAGACCUCACUUCUCAGAGGAGGACCGGACAAGAACUAGCAAAUCCCCGACCAUCUACAUUCCAUAAUCUCAGCACUUGAUGAAAUUGAUGCCUUCGUCAAACAAGCCACCGGUGGACUGGGGCAGCAGGUGGUGACCAGGAGCGACAACUCUGAAGUCACUCUCCUGCUUUCUACAACAAAAGACCAAAGUCUGUGUGACUUUGCCAGACCUUCAUGAUUGGUAAUGGCACCGAGCCUAUAGAUCAAUUUGGAAUAAAUUGCCAGCCUAACAAUGUUAAAUCUUCCAAUUCACU